rnacentral:rRNA from 1 species
AGUAAAAGUCGUAACAAGGUUUCCGUAGGUGAACCUGCGGAAGGAUCAUUAUCGAGUUUUGAACGGGUUGUAGCUGGCCUCUCACGAGGCAUGUGCACGCCUGGCUCAUCCACUCUUAACCUCUGUGCACUUUAUGUAAGAGAAAAAAAUGGUGGAAGCUUCCAGGAUCUCGCGAGAGGUCUUCGGUUGAACAAGCCGUUUUUCUUUCUUAUGUUUUACUACAAACGCUUCAGUUAUAGAAUGUCAACUGUGUAUAACACAUUUAUAUACAACUUUCAGCAACGGAUCUCUUGGCUCUCGCAUCGAUGAAGAACGCAGCGAAAUGCGAUAAGUAAUGUGAAUUGCAGAAUUCAGUGAAUCAUCGAAUCUUUGAACGCACCUUGCACUCCUUGGUAUUCCGAGGAGUAUGCCUGUUUGAGUCUCAUGGUAUUCUCAACCCCUAAAUUUUUGUAAUGAAGGUUUAGCGGGCUUGGACUUGGAGGUUGUGUCGGCCCUCGCUGGUCGACUCCUCUGAAAUGCAUUAGCGUGAAUCUUACGGAUCGCCUUCAGUGUGAUAAUUAUCUGCGCUGUGGUGUUGAAGUAUUUAUGGUGUUCAUGCUUCGAACCGUCUCCUUGCCGAGACAAUCAUUUGACAAUCUGAGCUCAAAUCAGGUAGGACUACCCGCUGAACUUAAGCAUAUCAAUAAGCGGAGGA